rnacentral:lncRNA from 1 species
ACGAAUUAUAAUGGUUUUAUAUUUUAGUUUAAAGGUUAAAUUUGUAAAAUGAUAAAUAUGUUAUUAUAAUAAAACAUAUAAUAAAAUCUAUCAUUCAUUCAUCUUUUUCAUAUAACUAAAAUAUCAAAAGAAAGAAAACUUUAGCGAAUUCGGCCAUUGUCAAAGCUUGAUUAAGGUAUGUAACUAGCUCAGUUUUUGAUAAUUUUUACGUUUUUG